AUGCUGUCGAACGGAAAGGCCCUUCGGGGUACUCGAGUGGCGAACGGGUGAGUAACACGUGGGUGAUCUGCCCUGCACUUUGGGAUAAGCCUGGGAAACUGGGUCUAAUACCGAAUAGGAUCAUGGCCUGCAUGGGUUGUGGUGGAAAGCUUUUGCGGUGUGGGAUGGGCCCGCGGCCUAUCAGCUUGUUGGUGGGGUAAUGGCCUACCAAGGCGACGACGGGUAGCCGGCCUGAGAGGGUGACCGGCCACACUGGGACUGAGAUACGGCCCAGACUCCUACGGGAGGCAGCAGUGGGGAAUAUUGCACAAUGGGCGCAAGCCUGAUGCAGCGACGCCGCGUGAGGGAUGACGGCCUUCGGGUUGUAAACCUCUUUCAGUAGGGACGAAGCGCAAGUGACGGUACCUAUAGAAGAAGGACCGGCCAACUAC
rnacentral:rRNA from 1 species